GACGAACGCUGGCGGCGUGCUUAACACAUGCAAGUCGAACGAAAAGAGGGAAAGAGCUUGCUCUUUCCGGAAUUGAGUGGCAAACGGGUGAGUAACACGUAAACAACCUGCCUUCAGGAUGGGGACAACAGACGGAAACGACUGCUAAUACCGAAUAAGUUCCAAGAGCCGCAUGGCCCAUGGAAGAAAAGGUGGCCUCUACCUGUAAGCUAUCGCCUGAAGAGGGGUUUGCGUCUGAUUAGCUGGUUGGAGGGGUAACGGCCCACCAAGGCGACGAUCAGUAGCCGGUCUGAGAGGAUGAACGGCCACACUGGAACUGAGACACGGUCCAGACUACUACGGGAGGCAGCAGUGGGGAAUCUUCCGCAAUGGGCGAAAGCCUGACGGAGCAACGCCGCGUGAGUGAUGACGGCCUUCGGGUUGUAAAACUCUGUGAUCCGGGACGAAAAGGCAGAGUGCGAAGAACAAACUGCAUUGACGGUACCGGAAAAGCAAGCCACGGCUAACUACGUG
rnacentral:rRNA from 1 species